rnacentral:rRNA from 1 species
GAUGAACGCUGGCGGCGUGCCUAAUACAUGCAAGUCGAGCGAAUGGAUUAAGAGCUUGCUCUUAUGAAGUUAGCGGCGGACGGGUGAGUAACACGUGGGUAACCUGCCCAUAAGACUGGGAUAACUCCGGGAAACUGGGGCUAAUACCGGAUAACAUUUUGAACCGCAUGGUUCGAAAUUGAAAGGCGGCUUCGGCUGUCACUUAUGGAUGGACCCGCGUCGCAUUAGCUAGUUGGUGAGGUAACGGCUCACCAAGGCAACGAUGCGUAGCCGACCUGAGAGGGUGAUCGGCCACACCGGGACUGAGACACGGCCCAGACUCCUACGGGAGGCAGCAGUAGGGAAUCUUCCGCAAUGGACGAAAGUCUGACGGAGCAACGCCGCGUGAGUGAUGAAGGCUUUCGGGUCGUAAAACUCUGUUGUUAGGGAAGAACAAGUGCUAGUUGAAUAAGCUGGCACCUUGACGGUACCUAACCAGAAAGCCACGGCUAACUACGUGCCAGCCGCCGCCGUAA